CCUACGGGGGGCAGCAGUGAGGAAUAUUGGUCAAUGGCCGGAAGGCUGAACCAGCCAAGCCGCGUGAGGGAGGAAGGCGCAGAGCGUCGCAGACCUCUUUUGCCGGGGGACAAAAGGCCGGACUCGUCCGGUCCUGAGGGUACCCGGAGAAAAAGCAUCGGCUAACUCCGUGCCAGCAGCCGCGGUAAUACGGAGGAUGCGAGCGUUAUCCGGAUUCAUUGGGUUUAAAGGGUGCGUAGGCGGAUUUUUAAGUCAGCGGUAAAAUGUCCGGGCUCAACCCGGGCCGGCCGUUGAAACUGCAGCUCUUGAGUGAAGUAGAGGCAGGCGGAAUUCCUAGUGUAGCGGUGAAAUGCGUAGAUAUUAGGAGGAACACCAGUGGCGAAGGCGGCCUGCUGGGCUUUUACUGACGCUGAGGCUCGAAAGUGUGGGGAGCAAACAGGAUUAGAUACCCUGGUAGUC
rnacentral:rRNA from 1 species